rnacentral:piRNA from 1 species
UGAGGAAAACAGACUGCUGCUUC